rnacentral:rRNA from 1 species
GGGGGGGGGGGGGGGGGGGGGGGGGGGGGGCGGGGGGGGGGGGGGUUACGGGGGGGGGUGGUGGGAUGGGAGGGGGUGGUGCUUGGUGGGGGACGGGGGAGUGACGGGUGGUGACGCUGCCCUCUACAGGGGGAUAGCAGCUGUACACGGCUGGUAAGACCGCAUCAGUCGGCGAGACCGGAUGGGUUUGCCGGGCAUUAGCAAUCAGGUAUAGGAUGGGCCCGCGUACGAUGAGCCAGUUGGCAGGGUAAAAGCCUACCAAAGCAACGAUCGGUAGCCGGACUGAGAGGUCGGACGGCCACAUUGGGACUGAGACACGGCCCAAACUCCUACGGGAGGCAGCAGUGGGGGAUAUUGCACAAUGGAGGAAACUCUGAUGCAGCGACGCCGCGUGAGUGAAGAAGUAUUUCGGUAUGUAAAGCGCUAUCAGCAGGGAAGAUGAUGACGGUACCUGACUAAGAAGCCCCGGCUAACUACGUG